UACAGAGCGAAGAAAAAGAGAAAAGCAAGUGUUCCUUUGCAGAGAGUCAGUGUUUGGUGUGAAUUGACAGGGAAUUUGUAAUAUACACUUUGGAGCUUGUAUUUGAACGAGAGUAGGGUACACGGCAGCUACCGUUAUGAGCAAAAUGAAGUGAUGUCGAUUCGGCAUAAUCAGGGUGGUACCGCGGACAAUUCGCCCCUGUU
rnacentral:ncRNA from 1 species